rnacentral:rRNA from 1 species
AACGCGAAGAACCUUACCUGGGCUCGAAAUGCAGUGGGAGAAUUCAGAGAUGGAUUCGUCCGUAAGGACUACUGUAUAGGUGCUGCAUGGCUGUCGUCAGCUCGUGCCGUGAGGUGUUGGGUUAAGUCCCGCAACGAGCGCAACCCUUAUCAUUAGUUGCCAUCACGCAAGGUGGGCACUCUAGUGAGACUGCCUAGGUUAACUAGGAGGAAGGUGAGGAUGACGUCAAGUCCGCAUGGCCUUUAUGUCCAGGGCUACACACGUGCUACAAUGGUCGGUACAGAGGGCUGCAAAUUCGCAAGAUAGAGCAAAUCCCAGAAAGCCGAUCUCAGUUCAGAUUGUGGUCUGCAACUCGACCACAUGAAGCUGGAAUUGCUAGUAAUGGCGCGUCAGCAACAGCGCCGUGAAUACGUUCCCGGGCCUUGUACACACCGCUCGUC